rnacentral:rRNA from 1 species
GCGGCUUGUUGCGUCAGCUGUGAAAACCCGCAGCUCAACUGUGGGCUUGCAGCUGAUACGGGCAGGCUUGAGUUCGGUAGGGGAGACUGGAAUUCCUGGUGUAGCGGUGAAAUGCGCAGAUAUCAGGAGGAACACCGGUGGCGAAGGCGGGUCUCUGGGCCGAUACUGACGCUGAGGAGCGAAAGCGUGGGGAGCGAACAGGAUUAGAUACCCUGGUAGUCCACGCUGUAAACGUUGGGCGCUAGGUGUGGGGGGCCUCUCCGGUUCUCUGUGCCGCAGCUAACGCAUUAAGCGCCCCGCCUGGGGAGUACGGCCGCAAGGCUAAAACUCAAAGGAAUUGACGGGGGCCCGCACAAGCGGCGGAGCAUGCGGAUUAAUUCGAUGCAACGCGAAGAACCUUACCUGGGUUUGACAUGGGCGCUAAAGCCGCAGAGAUGUGGUGUCCUUCGGGGGCGUUCACAGGUGGUGCAUGGCUGUCGUCAGCUCGCGUCGUGAGAUGUUGGGUUAAGUCCCGCAACGAGCGCAACCCUUGUUCGAUGUUGCCAGCGG